GUCCACGGCAAAGAUGGCUCUGCUUCUGCUGAGCCUGGGGCUGAGCCUCAUCGCAGCCCAGGAGUUCGAUCCCCACACCGUUAUGCAGAGGAACUACAACGUGGCCAGGGUUUCAGGGGUCUGGUAUUCUAUUUUCAUGGCCUCAGAUGACCUGAAUCGGAUUAAAGAAAAUGGAGACCUGAGGGUCUUCGUCCGGAAUAUUGAACACUUGAAGAACGGCAGCCUAAUAUUUGAUUUCGAAUACAUGGUGCAGGGGGAGUGUGUGGCUGUGGUCGUGGUCUGCGAGAAGACAGAGAAGAAUGGGGAAUACUCCAUCAACUAUGAGGGCCAGAACACAGUGGCCGUCUCGGAGACUGACUACAGGCUGUUCAUCACCUUCCACCUCCAGAACUUCAGGAACGGGACCGAGACCCACACGCUGGCGCUCUAUGCACGGGUCCCAUAGCUGGAACCCUCCUUCCUGAGCAGAUUUGAAGAAACCUGCGAAAAGUACGGACUUGGCUCACAAAAUAUCAUCGACUUGACCAACAAAGAUCCCUGCUACUCCAAGCAUUACAGGAGCCCGCCCAGGCCUCCCAUGCGUGAGCUGCGACUCGGGACGGGCAGGGGGCUGGAUGGGGAGAGCUUGGGGCCAACGUCAGAGGCUGCGGGGUCCCACCCCAGGAGGUGCCCAUCCCUCCCCCUGGUCUGGGAACCGAACACAAGGUGCUUUGGUGAAAGAUGCUGUGAAAAGCAUCCUGGAGUCGGGGCAGUGAUGGGGCCUUCCAGGGUGGUAAGGUCUGAGCAGGAAGUGAGAUGGGGCCCUGUGUGAGUCUCCAGGGGCUGAUGUCACCAUAUGCGGGUGACUAGGACAACCAGGAUUUACUUUCUCACAGCCUGGAGCCCGAGGUCUGAAACCCGAGGUCCGCAGGGCUGUGCUCCCUCCACCAGCUCCCGGGAAGGGUCCUUCCUGCCUCUUCCGGCUGCUGGGGGCUCCAGGCAUCCCUGGCUUGUGGCUGUCACUCCAGCCUCUGCCUCUGUCUGUGUCUCCUCUUCUGUCUCUUCUAAGGACACUUGUCAUUGGAUUUCGGGCCCAUCUUCAUGCAGAAUGAUCUCCCGUCAAGACCUCAACUUCACACCUGCAAAGACCCUUUCCCAUCAGAUGCCCUUCACAGGCUCCAGGCACUAGGAAAGGAGCAUGUCCUUUGAGGGACACCACUCAGGUCACCACAGGCUCCUUCUCCGAGCUGCCCCUCCCUUCUCAGACAUGGUCCCAGCCCAGUAAAAACCCCCAGGGCCCCCUUCCCUUCCCAGAGCCUGAGCCUCCCAGAGAUACGCCUCUGAAGGCACCUCUGCAUUUCUGCACGAGGGUUCCUGAGGGUAAAGGAGUGGAUGUACCUGUGGUGCGUGGUGGCCCCAAGAUGCGGGUGAGAUGAGAUGGCAACCGGCAACCAAGGCCCUACCCCUCCCCUCUCCGCCCCUCCCCUCGCUGACCUUCCCCUCCCUGUCCCUCCCCUCUCUGCCCCUCCCCUCCUGUCCCCUCCCUGGGCUCAGCCACUGCCUUUGGGGGAAGAUGAUCAACAAUGUCACAGCUGAGGCAGGUGCCUGCGCCCCCGCCUCCAUGUUUUGGUGAAUAAAAGGGAGGUACCAGCCAA